rnacentral:rRNA from 1 species
AUUGAACGCUGGCGGCAGGCCUAACACAUGCAAGUCGAACGAGUGGCGGACGGGUGAGUAAUGUCUGGGAAACUGCCCGAUGGAGGGGGAUAACUACUGGAAACGGUAGCUAAUACCGCAUACCAUCGGAUGUGCCCAGAUGGGAUUAGCUAGGAGGUGGGGUAACGGCUCACCUAGGCGCCGAUCCCGAGCUGGUCUGAGAGGAUGACCAGCCACACUGGAACUGAGACACGUCCCAUACUCCUACGGGAGGCAGCAGUGGGGAAUAUUGCACAAUGGGCGCAAGCCUGAUGCAGCCAGGCCGCGUGUAGGAAGAAGGCUGGCGGGUUGUAAAGUACUUUCAGCGAGGAGGCGUUACUCGCAGAAGAAGCACCGGCUAACUCCGUGCCAGCAGCCGCGGUAAUAC